AUUUAUAUAUUAUAUUUAAGUAUAAUUAAUUUCCAAUUAAUAGGAUUAAAAUUUUUAAUAUAAAUA
rnacentral:tRNA from 1 species